GCUUCCGUAGCUCAAUUGGUUAAGAGCAUUAUAUUAUUAUUGUGGAGGAUGCGGGUUCAAGUCCUGCCGGAAGCG